rnacentral:rRNA from 1 species
UUUUAGAAUUUAAUUUAAAGUCUAACCUGCCCACUGAAUAAUUUUAAAUGGCCGCAGUAUCCUAACUGUGCAAAGGUAGCAUAAUCAUUAGUCUUUUAAUUGAAGGCUGGAAUGAAUGGUUGGAUGAAAUAUUAACUGUUUCAUAGAAAUUUAUAAUAGAAUUUUAUUUUUUAGUCAAAAAGCUAAAAUAUAAUUAAAAGACGAGAAGACCCUAUAAAUCUUUAUAUUUAGAUGAUUUUAAUUAUUUAGAUAAAUUAAAUUAUAAUUAUUUUAAAUAUUUUAUUGGGGUGAUAUUAAAAUUUAAUAAACUUUUAAUUUAUAUUAUACAUAAAUUAAUGAAUUAUUGAUCCAUUUAUUAUGAUUAAAAAAUUAAGUUACUUUAGGGAUAACAGCGUAAUUUUUUUAGAGAGUUCAUAUUGAUAAAAA